UACGUAGGGUGCAAGCGUUGUCUGGAAUUAUUGGGCGUAAAGAGCUCGUAGGCGGUUUGUCGCGUCUGCUGUGAAAAUCCAGGGCUUAACCCUGGACCUGCAGUGGGUACGGGCAGACUGGAGUGCGGUAGGGGAGAUCGGAAUUCCUGGUGUAGCGGUGAAAUGCGCAGAUAUCAGGAGGAACACCGGUGGCGAAGGCGGAUCUCUGGGCCGUAACUGACGCUGAGGAGCGAAAGCAUGGGGAGCGAACAGG
rnacentral:rRNA from 1 species